rnacentral:snRNA from 1 species
GCGCUCGCUUCAGCAGCACACGUACUAAAACUGGAACAAUACGGAGAAGAUAAGCAUGGCCCCUAUGCAAGGAUGACACGCAAAUUUGUGUAGCGUUACAUAUUUUU